rnacentral:tRNA from 1 species
GGAGGAUUGAGCCAAGUUGGACUAAUGGCAGCACUCUUGAAAAGUGUAGGUCGCUUAAAACGGCGUGGGGGUUCGAGUCCCUCAUCCUCCG